rfam:Neotoma lepida isolate 417 scaffold_5831, whole genome shotgun sequence.
UNAAAGGCCCUUUUCAGGGCCACCCACUUGUUCCUUAAAAGGCUGU